rnacentral:lncRNA from 1 species
GGCUUCCUUGCUCACAGCUGCUGCUUCUAGCAUAUGCACGGGCGCUCUGGCCAUCAUGGUGGGGGGAGGGGCGCUUUCCUUGCAUGCAUAAUCCCAGGAGCAUUCUCUCUCUGCCCUUGCCAUCUGCCAUCCUGGGGUGCUGGCUUGAAGACACCCCCACAAUAGCUUAGCCACCUCUGUGUGGGGCUUUCCCACUGGCUGUGAGGGCAUUUGGAGAGGGAGGGUGUUCCUGUGGAGAGCUGGGUGUGGUCCUGCACCUGGGUAGCUGCCAUUCGGGGAAGGAGGGGAGAUCCCCUUACCUCCUUCCACUUCCUCUGGGGGGUCCGGCAGCUCCACCUUCAGGCAUAUGGCUGCCUGGGUCUCUCAGAUGUCUGUUGUGUUGUGUGAAUGUCCUCUGUUUGUUUAUGAAUUUCCUUUUUAUUGUGUCUUGUGAGGUGAGUCUAAGGGAAGAGUUCACUCCGCCAUGAUACUGACAUCAAUCUCUCCCUCCUCCAGUUUUGAUUAAAGAUUGGAAACCACCUUUCAGUUGGGUUAGAAAACUCCUUGCUUUUCUCAACACCAAGGCUCGUGUUUUGAAUCACGGUCUGGUGAGGUCCCAGGUGGGGAUGCAGCACAGGAAGGUGUGAUGUGUGAGGGAGUCUUGCUGGGGAUCAAGAGGCAGUGGGGGCAAGGGGCCCAGCACUGACCUGGCACCCUGAAGCCUGCCCGUGAGACGACAGCUCCUUUGUGCUAAAACGUCAAGUGAGUGUUGUGGCAUGCAGCAUGGGCUGGGCUGUAGACUGGACGCUGAGUGUGGUUCCUCUGUGGCUGUCCCCCAGAUGUCACUGUCUGAUGGGCCUCUCCCCUGUCACUUGCCUGGGCCACCUCCACUUUGCAGUGUCGUCAGAGUGUUUCUUUCCUCGGUCUUAGAGUGCUAUCGCUCAGAUGUCAUGUGAGCCAUAAAGAAAUGUGAGGUCACAAAGCAGAGUAUGGGAAGGCCAUGUGACCCCUCUGUUCCUCCCCUGGGAAGGCUCCACCCAUGGUGUGUCCACCUGAGCAGUGAGCCCUCACUCGUCACCCACUGCAGAUGCUUUCUUCUCGUAUUGGUGACACUGCAGUCUCUUCAAAACAUAAGUGAAGCAGGAGGAGCAUCCAGCCUUUUCUCAGCAGAUUAGGACAGCAGACCUGGAAGGAAGGCUGCUCAGCAUGAAGGCUGGCUGUGUUUCUACUUUCUGGCUUUCCCUCCGUGAGUUUCCCUUCAGCCUCACCCCAAAGGGUGGAUUUAGGUGUUGCAUCUGUGCAAACAUCCGUGUGGUUGAUGCGUGGUUGACGUGCUCUGCCUCCUUCACUGGGUCAAAAGCUCUGGAGGAAAGCAAUGGGUCUUUUACCACCGUCGUCUCCCAGGCCUUCUACUUGCCUCGCACACAGCAGGCACUCAGCCAGUGGUGAAGGAAGGAAUGCAUGUGUGGUGGUCAAGUCAGGAGGCAGCGUAACUUUGCUAAUACAGAGCAGUCAUAUCAGGAUUCCAUAUUACAUAGUUGGACGUGGAGAUUUCAAUUCUAGAAACCAGAGACUGGUCCCCACUCCCCUCCUCUCUCUGUCCCCCCAAGUCCUUAUUUGUGAAAUUCCAUUUCACCUAAACUGGAGUCAGGAGAGGAGUCUAGUCAUGGCUCAUGUGUACAUGUUCACUGUUCCCUACAUACUAAAGUGCGGGUUGAAAAUGGAAUGUUUGGGGACCUCCAGAAUAAGACGGCAUGAGGUUAAUGCCUCAUAAGUCUUCCCACUAGAGGCUCACGAAGACACCAAAGGGACAAAACACGGCCACCGAAGACUGUUCCACUGAUGUAGGAGCAGUUCAUCCUAGUAGGAGAUAGUUGCACCUGACUGGGGAGUAUGUGACACCUGGGAGCUGAGGGCCUCCCCUGUGGAGGCCUGCAUCCUGGACACAAGGCUACGUCUGCCUCCUGAAGAGCUGCGUCUCCCUUCAGUGGAUGCUGCCCUUUGCUUUACAAGCAGAGCCCGCCUUGCACCCGCCUCCAUCAGCACCUCCUUCCUCCCAUCCACUUAGAAACCGCAACACCACGAAACACUCAGAGGGAGAUAAAUGCUGAAGUGUAAGUUUGUCAAAAAUAAUCCUUGAAGACACAUGUGGGGACUAGAAGCAUCCUGCUGGCAGUCCUCACUGGAGAAGCUAGUUUUUUGUUUUUUGAAGAGUUUGUUUAGAUUAUCUAAGAGGCACUAAGCGCAGAAGAGAAGAUCCCAUUUGAGUUUACUGGAUCUGUGCUAGAAAAAUGUCUGCUGUGGGCUGGAGGUGGGCACAGCCCUUCCCCUGGUGGCCAGAAGGAGAGGUGGGUCCAUGGGACACUGCUUGUUGGCAACCACAGGGUCUGGAGACGACUGCUUUUGGAAGGAUGAGCAAACCAAGAUGGUGAGUGUAGGGCCUUAGAAUAUGCUGCACAGCAAAUGACAAAGAAUAUUAUCCUGAGGACCCAGAGAGGGAGCAGACCUCUGGAAAAAUUGACUGGAGAAAGAGAAAUAGGCAAACAACAACAAACCAGUAGGACAUAAGGAAAUAUGGCUUCCGUGAAAAAGAGCAGAAAGCCACAGGAGUGAACAUUUAGCAUGAAAUGGUAGGGUGAAUGGAUAAAAUGGGAGAGUUAAAAUCCACAUUGGAGAGGAUGAAUGGUGUUUCCAUAGGGAAUAAUGGGUCAGUGAUGUACAGACUGACUCAAGGAGCUUUCUCAGAAUGCAGAGGGACAAGUCAAUGAAAUAGGGGAAGACCAGAGGACCAAACCAUAGAUAUUUCUAAGGAGGAAUAAUUGGAAAAGAAGCAAUAAAAGAGUGGUAGAAAGAACUUCCUGAGUUGAUAAAAGACCUAAAUAUGCAUGCUGGAAGGCUCAUAUGUCGUAGACAAACUUGGUCUGAGGUGAUCGACAGUUAGAUGUGAAUAAGAUCAGCAUUGCACAACACAUCACUGUGCUUUCAAGUUAAGGAAACAUUUUAUUUUUCCUCCUUUGGAGUAAAUGGAGCAUUUUUUAUGAUUCCCUUUUGUGUUGUCUAUCGACUCGUCACUUACACCUCUUUUGAGGAAUCAGCAAUGCCCUGGGCUCACAGCCAACGUCUGUCUUUACCCAGUCUACUGCUGCACGACACACGUCUCAGUGCGUGGUGUAAGGAACUUACCGCAGUAUCUUCCACUGCCUUCUCCCAUCCUGUGUGCG